CCUACGGGAGGCAGCAGUAGGGAAUAUUGGGCAAUGGACGCAAGUCUGACCCAGCCAUGCCGCGUGCAGGAAGAAGGCGUUAUGCGUUGUAAACUGCUUUUAUACAGGAAGAAACGACUCUUGCGAGAGGCAUUGACGGUACUGUAUGAAUAAGCACCGGCUAACUCCGUGCCAGCAGCCGCGGUAAUACGGAGGGUGCAAGCGUUGUCCGGAUUUAUUGGGUUUAAAGGGUGCGCAGGUGGUUUAUUAAGUCAGUGGUGAAAGACGGUCGCUCAACGAUUGCAGUGCCAUUGAAACUGGUAGACUUGAGUAAAGUAGAGGUGGGCGGAAUUGAUAGUGUAGCGGUGAAAUGCAUAGAUAUUAUCAAGAACUCCAAUUGCGAAGGCAGCUCACUUGGCUUUACUGACACUCAUGCACGAAAGUGUGGGUAUCAAACAGGAUUAGAUACCCUGGUAGUCCACACUAGUAACGUAUAGAUAACUAGUAGUCGGUCCGACUACUGUCGGUGCGACGAGACGAAGACGUUAAGUUAGUCUACCGUGGUUAGGUUACGUCGCGACGGUAGAACGACGAGAGUUAGAGGCGNGAGAGNGCGACGACGACGACGAGGAGGAGGAG
rnacentral:rRNA from 1 species